AAAGGGUUUGCUAACUAGCUAGCUCUGAUUUAACUAGUAGUUGGUCAUUUCUACAAUUCCAUGGUGGCCUCUACUCUAGCUUUUGUGAAUUUCCCUCAUCUUUCAUGGGCACUACUUUGUGCAGUGUCCAACGGGGGAGGGUAAAGCCAAUGCCAAGCAGCCUGGAUCCAUCAUUUUAUCUAAUCAAUUAUUUUGCUCCCUACUCCUCUUUCUCCAGCUGGAUUAGAUCACUCAUUUCCAAAAGGGUGUUUGCACAUAGGGCACCAAUUUCCACGGAAGACACCGACAUUUGCCUAAUUUUCGGUUGUGGCCUAAUAACCAAAAGGAAUUUAUAAUUUUCUAAACUUUCUGCAAAG
rnacentral:lncRNA from 1 species